UUUUUUUUGAGACCAAGUCUCACUUUUGCCCAGGCUGGAGUGUGGUGGCGCAAUCUCUGCUCACUGCAACCUCCGCCUUCCGGGUUCAAGCAAUUCUCUGCCUCAGCCUCCUGAGUAGCUGGGAUUACAGGUGCCCGUCACCACACCCGGCUAAUUUUUUGUAUUUUUAGUAGAGACAGGGUUUCACCAUCUUGGCCAGGCUGGUCUUUGAACUCCUGACCUCGUGAUCCACCCACCUCCGCCUCCCAAGAAAAGAUUUUUUUAAAAAAUCAAAGGUUGAGCCAGUCAUGGUGACACACACCUGUGGUCCCAACUCCUGAGGAAGCUGAGGCAGGAGGAUUAUUUGAACUCAGGAGCUUGGGACUGUUGAAAAACCAAAGAGUUUAAAAAGUCUUCCACAGGGAGAAGAGAGAAUUUCCUUAAAGAUUUCCAAAUAUAUGUAGAUAUUCCCCCUUUCAUAGGGUGGAGCUUAAUCUUCUCCUUUUUGAAUGUGGGCUAGAUUAAGUGACUCCUAAAGAACAGAGUAUGGAAAGGGAAAAAGUAACUUUGCAGUGGAGAAACCUGGCAGACUUAACCAAGUGAUCAAUGUUAAUAUCACCAGUGAUGUGUACCCCCGAUAGGAUGUGAAGUGAAUUGUACUGCUGUGGUUUCCAAAAACCUGUAAUCUCAAUCUAAUGAGAAAAACAGACAUAUUUAGAAUAUGUGAACAGUAUUCUUCAAAAUUUCCAGAAAAUUUUUCUCAGAAAAACAGGCUGAGAAGUAACCAUGGACGGCAGAAGACUAAAGAUACAUGACAACUAUUAAUAAAUGCAAUGUGGUACCCUGGAAACAAAAGGAUGUUAAAUGGAAAAACGUGAAAUCUAAAGUCCGGAGUCUAGAGUACAGUUGAGAGUAUUGUACCAAUAUUGGGUUUUGUUUUGAGACGGUGUCACUGUCUCCUAGGCUGGAGUGCAGUGGUACGAUCUUGGCUCACUGCAACCUCCACCUGGAUUCAAGCGAUUCUCCUGCCUCAGCCUCCUGAGUAGCUGGGAUUAUAGGCACCCGCCACCACGCCUGGCUAAUUUAUUUUUAGUAGAGAUGGGGUUUCACCAUGUUGGCCAGGCUGGUCUUGAACUUGACCUCAAAUGAUCUGCCCACCUCGGCCUCCCAAAAUGUUGGGAUUACAGGCAUGAAACACCACGCCUGACCCCAAUACUGGUUUCUUAACUGACGUACCAUGGUAGCUUAAGAUGACAACAUUCAUAGAAACAGCGUGGCGUAUAUGGGAACUCUACUAGAUGUGGUUUUUCUGUAAAUCUAAACUUAAAAAAAAAAAAAAGCUAUCUUUGAAAAAAAUCACCCAUAAUCCUACCAGAGAUAACUAUUGGCACUGAGUGAAAAUCCACAUUGACCUAUAUUUUGAAAUGUACUCUUGUUUAUGAAACAAUUUUUAAUUUCACUAGUCUGUUACAGCCAACUGAAAUGGUAGUCUUAAGUUUUUGUUGUUUUUACUGUGGGCUAGAGAGAGAUGUCUUAACUGUACAUUUAAGGAUCAUGUGUGUAUUAGAAAAUUUUACACAAUUUAUGUGCUACAAAGUUUCAUUAGAGACUUUACAGUUUUUCUGAUGAUCUAGUACUUCUCUAUGGACUUCUUUUUCUGUUGAUGCUUCC
rnacentral:lncRNA from 10 species